rnacentral:tRNA from 1 species
GAGGGUAUAGAUUAGUAGUAAAGUGCAUGCCUAGCAUGCACAAGAUCCUGGGUUCAAUUCCCAGUACCUCUG